rnacentral:tRNA from 1 species
UUCAGGGAGACCUGCUUCAUCUAGACCGACCCAAAGUUAUUAGGUCAGAUGCAAGUCAUCCCAGGUCGUGCGAGGAAUAUACUGGGGUCAAAGGCUUUCUAACUCUACUUCUGUUCGGGAUAAGGGCUAUUAGCUCAGGUGGUUAGAGCGCACCCCUGAUAAGGGUGAGGUCCCUGGUUCGAGUCCAGGAUGGCCCACCUUAAGCAAAAGUCUUGAGGGGGUAUAGCUCAGUUGGUAGAGCGCUGCCUUUGCAAGGCAGAUGUCAGCGGUUCGAGUCCGCUUACCUCCACUUGACCAGCUUUAGUUCUGGGAAAAAAAACAAAAAAAACUUUGUCAUCUUCACACAGUUUCAAACAGUUGUGAUAGAGUAGAGAAAGUCGGGUAAAGAAGCCAGCAACUGAAAGGAAAACUUUCCAUCAGACUGCUGGGAAUCUUACCAGCCAGUACCUUGAAAACUGCAUAGCAACAAGUCAGCAGAAGUCAGUAAGAGGUAGGCGUCACAAGUGGGCGUUGAGUAUCUUGCAGACAAAAUGAAUGAAUUGU